GGUCGCGUGGCCCAAUGGCAAGGCGCUUGACUACGACUUUGAAUUGAAAUCAAGAGAUUGCAGGUUCGAUCCCUGCCGCGAUCA
rnacentral:tRNA from 1 species